rnacentral:rRNA from 1 species
AUGGUGGCGCUCGAGGCGGUUCGGCCCGAGCUGGGUCGAUCCGACCGCCGCAGCCAGCCAUGGUUCUUGAUCCCGUGGACGACCUCACCGACAACAAGUAGGAUAGCUGUCGACGGGCGCAGCAGCCUCCUAUGGGCGGGCGCCGGAGACGUUCUUCGCCUCGUGGACGUGCUCCGCGUCGAUCCCGACAAGGACGUCUACAUCUCCCUCCCCAGGGCUUCUAUCGACGCUGCAAGGUCGCCGACAUCACCGCUGGAUGCGGCGCAUCUAGCCUUCCCCUACUGCUAG